rnacentral:rRNA from 1 species
UACGGGGGGGGCAAGCGUUGUUCGGAAUUACUGGGCGUAAAGGGCUCGUAGGCGGCCAACUAAGUCAGACGUGAAAUCCCUCGGCUUAACCGGGGAACUGCGUCUGAUACUGGAUGGCUUGAGAUUGGGAGAGGGAUGCGGAAUUCCAGGUGUAGCGGUGAAAUGCGUAGAUAUCAGGAGGAACACCGGUGGUGGUAGACGGCUCACUGGACCGUAACUGACGCUGAGACACGAAAGCGUGGGUAGCAAACAGG